rnacentral:rRNA from 1 species
GACGAACGCUGGCGGCGUGCUUAACACAUGCAAGUCGAACGGAGUUCCUUGGAUAGAGGCUUCGGCCAAUUGAAAUGGAACUUAGUGGCGGACUGGUGAGUAACGCGUGAGGAACCUGCCUUUCAGAGGGGGACAACAGUUGGAAACGACUGCUAAUACCGCAUGAUGUAUCGAGAGGACAUCCUUUGAUACCAAAGCUUAAUGUGCUGAAAGAUGGCCUCGCGUCUGAUUAGCUAGUUGGUGAGGUAACGGCCCACCAAGGCGACGAUCGGUAGCCGGUCUGAGAGGAUGAACGGCCACAUUGGGACUGAGAUACGGCCCAGACUCCUACGGGAGGCAGCAGUAGGGAAUAUUGGGCAAUGGGGGAAACCCUGACCCAGCAACGCCGCGUGAAGGAAGAAGGCCCUCGGUUGUAAACUUCUUUAGCAGGACGAAGAACGUGACGGUACCUGCAGAAAAAGACAGCGGCUAACUACGUG